rnacentral:lncRNA from 1 species
AAUCGUUCAAUAGCGAUACUGUGUUGGUCCUAGGCUAAACCAUGCUAGAUACAUGAGCCUAGGUACAAAUGUAGUCACUAAAAAGGAGCAACAAGCACAGCACGAAGGAAACAACAGAUUCAGCCCCUUCUUUCUUCUCCUUCUCUUAUCUUUUUUUUCUUUUUUUCCCUUCUUUUUCUUUCUUUUGUUUUUUUUAAGAGGCCUAAAUCUUUUAUUUGAUCGUAUGACAACCCAAACAAUAAGGCUA